rnacentral:rRNA from 1 species
CGGUUCAAACUCCUACGGGAGGCAGCAGUGAGGAAUAUUGGUCAAUGGGCGAUGGCCUGAACCAGCCAAGUAGCGUGCGGGAUGACGGCCCUAUGGGAAGUAAACCGCUUUUGCAGGGGAAUAAAGUGCGGUACGCGUACCGUUUUGUAUGUACCCUGAGAAUAAGGACCGGCUAAUUCCGUGCCAGCAGCCGCGGUAAUACGGAAGGUCCGGGCGUUAUCCGGAUUUAUUGGGUUUAAAGGGAGCGCAGGCCGGAGGUCAAGCGUGACGUGAAAUGUAGCCGCUCAACGGCUGAACUGCGUCGCGAACUGGCUUUCUUGAGUGAGUUCGAUGUGGGCGGAAUUCGUGGUGUAGCGGUGAAAUGCUUAGAUAUCACGAGGAACUCCGAUUGCGAAGGCAGCCCACAAGGCCUUUACUGACGCUAAAGCUCGAAGGUGCGGGUAUCGAACAGGAUUAGAUACCCUGGUAGUCCGCACGGUAAACGAUGGAUGCCCGCUGUUUGCGAUAUACAGUAAGCGGCCAAGAGAAAUCGUUAAGCAUCCCACCUGGGGAGUACGCCGGCAACGGUGAAACUCAAAGGAAUUGACGGGGGCCCGCACAAGCGGAGGAACAUGUGGUUUAAUUCGAUGAUACGCGAGGAACCUUACCCGGGCUUGAACUGCAGCGGAAGGAGACAGAGAUGUUGAGGCCCUUCGGGGCGCCUGUGGAGGUGCUGCAUGGUUGUCGUCAGCUCGUGCCGUGAGGUGUCGGCUUAAGUGCCAUAACGAGCGCAACCCCUUUCUCCAGUUGCCAUCAGGUUAUGCUGGGCACUCUGGAGACACUGCCACCGUAAGGUGUGAGGAAGGUGGGGAUGACGUCAAAUCAGCACGGCCCUUACGUCCGGGGCUACACACGUGUUACAAUGGGUGGUACAGAGAGUCGGUGCAUCGCAAGUUGCAUCUAAUCAUGAAAGCCAUCCUCAGUUCGGAUUGGGGUCUGCAACCCGACCCCAUGAAGCUGGAUUCGCUAGUAAUCGCGCAUCAGCCAUGGCGCGGUGAAUACGUUACCGGGCCUUGUACUCACCGCCCGUCAAG